rnacentral:rRNA from 1 species
GAUGGAGCAACGCCGCGUGAGUGAAGAAGGGAUUCGGCUCGUAAAGCUCUGUUGGUAGUGAAGAAAGAUAGAGGUAGUAACUGGCCUUUAUUUGACGGUAAUUACUUAGAAAGUCACGGCUAACUACGUGCCAGCAGCCGCGGUAAUACGUAGGUGGCAAGCGUUGUCCGGAUUUAUUGGGCGUAAAGCGAGUGCAGGCGGUUCAAUAAGUCUGAUGUGAAAGCCUUCGGCUCAACCGGAGAAUUGCAUCAGAAACUGUUGAACUUGAGUGCAGAAGAGGAGAGUGGAACUCCAUGUGUAGCGGUGGAAUGCGUAGAUAUAUGGAAGAACACCAGUGGCGAAGGCGGCUCUCUGGUCUGCAACUGACGCUGAGGCUCGAAAGCAUGGGUAGCGAACAGGAUUAGAUACCCUGGUAGUCCAUGCCGUAAACGAUGAGUGCUAAGUGUUGGGAGGUUUCCGCCUCUCAGUGCUGCAGCUAACGCAUUAAGCACUCCGCCUGGGGAGUACGACCGCAAGGUUGAAACUCAAAGGAAUUGACGGGGGCCCGCACAAGCGGUGGAGCAUGUGGUUUAAUUCGAAGCAACGCGAAGAACCUUACCAGGUCUUGACAUCCAGUGCAAACCUAAG